rnacentral:rRNA from 1 species
AUGAACGCUAGCGACAGGCUUAACACAUGCAAGUCGAGGGGCAGCGGGGGUAGCAAUACCCGCCGGCGACCGGCGCACGGGUGAGUAACGCGUAUGCAACUUACCUAUCAGAGGGGGAUAACCCGGCGAAAGUCGGACUAAUACCGCAUGAAGCAGGGGCCCCGCAUGGGGAUAUUUGCUAAAGAUUCAUCGCUGAUAGAUAGGCAUGCGUUCCAUUAGGCAGUUGGCGGGGUAACGGCCCACCAAACCGACGAUGGAUAGGGGUUCUGAGAGGAAGGUCCCCCACAUUGGUACUGAGACACGGACCAAACUCCUACGGGAGGCAGCAGUGAGGAAUAUUGGUCAAUGGCCGAGAGGCUGAACCAGCCAAGUCGCGUGAGGGAUGAAGGUUCUAUGGAUCGUAAACCUCUUUUAUAAGGGAAUAAAGUGCGGGACGUGUCCCGUUUUGUAUGUACCUUAUGAAUAAGGAUCGGCUAACUCCGUGCCAGCAGCCGCGGUAAUACGGAGGAUCCGAGCGUUAUCCGGAUUUAUUGGGUUUAAAGGGUGCGUAGGCGGCCUUUUAAGUCAGCGGUGAAAGUCUGUGGCUCAACCAUAGAAUUGCCGUUGAAACUGGGGGGCUUGAGUAUGUUUGAGGCAGGCGGAAUGCGUGGUGUAGCGGUGAAAUGCAUAGAUAUCACGCAGAACCCCGAUUGCGAAGGCAGCCUGCCAAGCCAUUACUGACGCUGAUGCACGAAAGCGUGGGGAUCAAACAGGAUUAGAUACCCUGGUAGUCCACGCAGUAAACGAUGAUCACUAGCUGUUUGCGAUACACUGUAAGCGGCACAGCGAAAGCGUUAAGUGAUCCACCUGGGGAGUACGCCGGCAACGGUGAAACUCAAAGGAAUUGACGGGGGCCCGCACAAGCGGAGGAACAUGUGGUUUAAUUCGAUGAUACGCGAGGAACCUUACCCGGGUUUGAACGCAUUCGGACCGAGGUGGCAACACCUUUUCUAGCAAUAGCCGUUUGCGAGGUGCUGCAUGGUUGUCGUCAGCUCGUGCCGUGAGGUGUCGGCUUAAGUGCCAUAACGAGCGCAACCCUUGCCACUAGUUACUAACAGGUGAUGCUGAGGACUCUGGUGGGACUGCCAGCGUAAGCUGCGAGGAAGGCGGGGAUGACGUCAAAUCAGCACGGCCCUUACAUCCGGGGCGACACACGUGUUACAAUGGCGUGGACAAAGGGAGGCCACCUGGCGACAGGGAGCGAAUCCCCAAACCACGUCUCAGUUCGGAUCGGAGUCUGCAACCCGACUCCGUGAAGCUGGAUUCGCUAGUAAUCGCGCAUCAGCCAUGGCGCGGUGAAUACGUUCCCGGGCCUUGUACACACCGCCCGUCAAGCCAUGGGAGCCGGGGGUACCUGAAGUCCGUAACCGAAAGGAUCGGCCUAGGGUAAAACUGGUGACUGGGGCU